GCUCUUGUAGACCAACUGGAAGAGGCUGCCGUCUCAAAAACGGUAUGUUGUGGGUACCCUGCGGGAAGCCGCUCCGCGUCUACGAUUCCCACCAAGAGUACCA
rnacentral:tRNA from 1 species